rnacentral:rRNA from 1 species
CAAGUCGAGGGGUAACAUAGAGUGCUUGCACUUUGAUGACGACCGGCGCACGGGUGAGUAACGCGUAUACAAUCUGCCUCAUACUAGGGGAUAGCCCAGAGAAAUUUGGAUUAAUACCCUAUAGUAUCAUUUAGAGUCAUCUCUUAAUGAUUAAAGGUUACGGUAUGAGAUGAGUAUGCGUUCUAUUAGUUAGUAGGUGAGGUAACGGCUCACCUAGACCACGAUAGAUAGGGGCCCUGAGAGGGGGAUCCCCCACACUGGUACUGAGACACGGACCAGACUCCUACGGGAGGCAGCAGUGAGGAAUAUUAGACAAUGGGCGAAAGCCUGAUCUAGCCAUGCCGCGUGCAGGAUGACGGCCCUAUGGGUUGUAAACUGCUUUUAUACAGGAAGAAAAAACUCUACGUGUAGAGGUCUUGACGGUACUGUAAGAAUAAGGAUCGGCUAACUCCGUGCCAGCAGCCGCGGUAAUACGGAGGAUCCAAGCGUUAUCCGGAAUUAUUGGGUUUAAAGGGUCCGUAGGUGGACAAUUAAGUCAGAGGUGAAAUCCUGCAGCUCAACUGUAGAAUUGCCUUUGAAACUGGUUGUCUUGAGUCAUUAUGAAAGUGGUUAGAAUGUGAGUUGUACCGGUGAAAUGGCAUAGAUAUUAC